UAAUUUUCCCGGGAGAAGUAGUAGUCAAGCGGUCAUUCGAUGAGAGAUUAUGUCACUACAUCUGUCAAUUCUGCAGAGCAGUCAGAAGCCCCAGCCCACAAGGUUUUUUGAGCAAGGAUGCCAAUUUCUCCACUGCCCCUUUUGCCCACUUUAUAAGGGUGACUACUCAAAAGUGGAAACACAUUUACAGUCCCAUAUGAAAACAGUGGUACAGCAUGGAGAGUUUGUGAUGUAUACCUGCAAAUGGGGCUGCAGAAAGGAGUCCCACUACCACUGCUGUGCUUGUAUUCAAAUUUUUCAAAGAAAAAAACAACUGCUUAGACACCUCAGCACAUGCCACCGUCAGCCAGCAGAAGG